CCAGUCAAGACGUUGCCCAACACAUGAAGGACUGGUAUGAAAAUAUCACCACAGAAUAACAGAAAUUCAUAAAGUUUCACAUCAAAAUACUGAAAUAUUGUGUCCGUUAGGUUGAACGCUGCGAGGAAAAGAGUUGAGCUGCACGCCCGUGAAAGCUCCUCAAGAUACCUCCGAUUGGUUUUAGAGAGAGAGACAGAGAACAUCUGAGUCUGACUCUAGCAGUCAGUGGCGAGCUAACUGCAGAAUCGACGAAAGGACCAAGAGCCUGGUGUGGCCAGCCGUGGCGUUUUGGAACCGUCAUCACCCUACUACUUCAUUGAAAACACAGAUAAGAACACACAUAAGAACAAGUCUACCCGGGUAGUGAAGGAACACAUUUUACUAAACACACACACCAAGAACUCUCAUGAAUUCCGGAAAGAGCUGCUUUAUUUUCUUUAACUUUGAAUGAAAUCUCAUAAAGGGACACUUUUUGUUGCGAUUAAUUCUUUUCUUGGGCCCUUAUAAUAUGCAUAUGUGCAUUUAGGAAGCCGGCUUAGGUAGGCAGGGUUUGUAAUUGAUUUUUUUGUAUAAUAUAAUUUUCUAAACCUA